GUGUCCUGUAGAGAGAACUGCUAUCUUCUGGGACCACAGCCCUGAGCUUGGGGGGCCCCGUCAGCUUCGAGGCAAGAGUCCUUCAAUGAUAGAUGUUCCCGGAAGAAAAUCCUGAAGAACGGGACUCAUGAACAGGGGACGUGUCUGCUGUCUGGGUAAGUGAUUGUGUGCACCGUAAACUCAUCACAGACAACCUGAUCUUCACAUUGGUAGGUCAGUGAGGUUCCUUUCCCUGAACGGUUUACCACAUGAUGGGUUUAGGGGUAUUCCGGUAAGGAAGGGUAGCGGCUCCUUGUUUUCAUUGCCAUGUGAUCCCAUUGUUUUCUGUCCUGGAGAGAACGUAUGAGGUAUGUACCCUGUGAGUGCUGAUUGAUUGGCACGUACCCAGGGAACUCCAGUGGCACUGUGCAUCACAGGAGUAACUAAGGUGGAUUUGCAGAGAAGACAACCAGAGAAAAUGAAGUGUCCUACGAUGGCCUACCCCUUGGAGGGACCACGAGCAUCCAGGCAGAUUUCACAUUCCCUUCCAGAGGUCAAGGGAACCCUCAUUAUGCCUGAGCAGGGGAACUCUGCCUGUAUCCAGAGGGGAGAUAGUAUGGGCAUAAGCAGGCCAUGGACGAUCCAAUCUUCUGAUACACAGGUAAUCACCAAUGGCAUUCCUGCUAUUUUUCCUGUCCUGCCGUGGGUUUUCUUGCUCAUUUUCUGUUCUUUAUUUUCUGCAGUAAUUCAGUUAAGAAACAAUGCUUUGCCAACCAAGGCUAAUAAGCAUUAGUCCUUGCUAUGUUCGACUUGAGGAUAAUGUGCCUUGAACCUGAGUCCGUGUUGACUGCGGUAGAUGCGGGUGUCCAGGUGAAUUAUCCUACUCUACCAGACCACAGGAUGGAAUGAUAGUUCUGACACAUCAUCAGUCCAGAGCUGAUAGUGGUGCCAACAGUGGGGUGGAAGUUGGAGUUCUGCCAGGAUCUAGGUAAGGUUCCUAGAUGACGGCAGUGACCAGCCUGUGUGGUGCGUGUCUUUUUCGUCUUUCAGGUAUGCCAAGUGGCAUCCUGGAAAACACCUGUCAGAUGCGUUUCUUCUGCUGCUGCUAGUCAUGAGAUCAAGGUGGGUCUGAGAAUGGCCAUUCGGAGGCCCUGGAUAGUAACCGGGUAAUGGAUGACACGAGUGCUAUGCCAAUACAGACCACCUGAACUUCAGAUUUCCUGGACAAAGAGGGCACUGUCCUUGACACGGUGUUUUCCCAUGGUUUCCUGCAGGUGUCCCAUAAAGUCCUCUUCCUGUAGAGAGGUAGGAGAUGUUGUGGCAUUACCUCAUGAAAGGCACUCUGAAUUUCCCGCAUGUAGAUAAUUAAUGAUGGUUUGAGUCUGGUAGAGUAACCUUGUGUUUGGCAUAUGUGUCAUUGGGAAAAGAUAAUUAGUGAUUCCCAAUGCCAGUAAGCAUGAGAUUUUACUGUUUGCUUAUUCAAAGGUAAGGGUUUGUGUGUGUGUGCAAAUUUGACCCUCCAUGUGAUAAACGGAUAUGCCAGUGCUCAGGUAGUUGAUCAUAUUGUCUGUCACCCCGAUGUGGACCGUGCUGUUUCUCCAGGUAUGCCUCGUAGGCUCUGGCUUAGAUAUCUUCAGUUAUCUGGGUAACCUGGAUGAGUUGUGAAAUGAUACCAAUGAACAAGUAUAUUUGUGGGUGUCCUCGUAGCAUAGGUUGUGGACCAAGCAGAGUUUCCCCAAUAUGUCUUUCAGAUGAAUGUCAGGGCAUCACAGCAGGCCUUUCAAAGCUAGGUAACGUGGGGCAUUGCUGGCUGAGGUAAGUGCUGACACAGGCCUAAACCGCAGCCCACAGCGUCGUACUGUCACAGAGGCUUAGUUCAGUGAUGGUGUGUCCCUACACAUCUUCCCGCCGUGAUUUCUUUUCCAUGUAUUCAGGUAAGAAAUGAUUUAGUUUUCACCACUCCCAGAUAGGCCGGGUUUUCCCGUUUUAUGAAAGUAUAUGCUGAACCGUGUGAGUGUUGAGGGAUUGCAGGGAGCCAGGUAUUUAUCGCUGUGUUCCCCAUCUGUGCUACCCCUCCGAUUUCUAGAGAUGUGCAGUUGAGAAACGGUGGUUUUCUGCUAUCAGGGUCGACCUGAGAUUACUGCAGCUAUACACAUCGAGUGGGUGUGUCCCAUAGAGAUGGAAGUAAUCAUGGGACUUUGUGGGAGUCUUUGCAGAAAACCCCAUGUCUUCUUACACGUAUGUAUUGGUGCCUCUUGCAGAUUCCUGCCGUGACAUCCCAGUGAAUCCAACGUGGGUCUUUAUCAGGAAGCAGGGUUGCUCUGCAAGUCAGGGCUGCAUGAGGACCAAAAACAACGCAUGGGCCACUUGAAGUUCAGGUGUCUAGGUAAGUGAGGAUGGUGUGCAUAGUUCCUGUUGUUCCCAUGAUUUCGCUUCAAGUGUCCCUGUCAGAAUUGACAAGUGUCCCUGGCUCACUAAAAACCGUGAGAUUUCCCUCUGCAUAUUUCAGAGACAACGUCUAACCCAGUGAGUACAGUGGGACUGCAAAUACCAGGUAAUGAUCUGGCGUUCCCAGCCACAGCGAUGACCGUGGACAUUUUGCAGGUGUCCUGUAGAGAGAAAUGCUGUCUUCUGGGCCUGCGGCCCUGAGCUUGGGGGACCCUGCCAGCAUCCAAGUAAGAGUCCUUCAAUCAUGGAUGCGAGCAUUGUGAUUUACAUGUCUCCUGUGAGAACACUUUAUGUGUUUUCAAGGCAUAUAUCUCUGUAGGUUUUCCAGGGUCCCACAAGGAAAUCCCGACAAACAGGAGUCAGGAUCAGGGAACAUGUCUGCUAUCCAGGUAAGUGAUGGUGUUCGCGGUAAACUCACCACACACCAGGCGAUCUCCACAUAUCUAGGUAACUGAGGUUCCUUUGCCUGAAGGGUUUAUCAUGUGAUGGGUUAACAGGUAUUUUGGUAAGAAAGAGUAGCGGCUCUCCGUUCUCCUCACCAUGUGAUCCUAUUGAUUUCUGCCCUGGAAAGAAUGUAUGAUGUAUGUGGUCUGUGAGGGCUGAUUGAUUGGCAUGUACGCAGGGAACUCGUGGCAUUGUGCAUCACAGGAGUGACUGUGGUAGAUUUGCAGGGAAGCCGGCCAGGGAAAAAGAGCGUGUCCUACAAUGGCCUAGACCCUGGAGAGCCCGCAAGCAUCCAGAUACAUUUUUGACUCCCACAGUGAUUAUACUGAGCAGGUGAUUUGCAAGGUCCUGGUGGAAAAGCUGUGUCCAUAGAGGCAUUGGUCACACUUGUAGUUUCAGGUUCAGGCAGGCAGAAGUCAGAGCGUGAGGACAGCAUUGAGGUCUCUCCAGGAGAUUUAUGGACCCUAGGAUUUGGUAGUGAUUCAGGUAUGAGAUGAUCAUGGCUCUCAUCAUUGUAGUGACCAUGGUAUUUUGAAGGAAUGCAAAAACAGAUGAUGGGCCUGUCCCUAACCAUGGUAGUGUCCAUGGGAUUUUGUAGCUAUAGAGUGAAAAGAUGACAGUGACCAUCUCUAUGGUAAUGUCUGGAAUUUUAAAAAUAUCCAGGUAACAAAUGAGUGUUUCUACUUAGGAAGUGAACAUAGAAUACUGAAGUUACAGAGUUAAGAAAUGAUCAACUUAACCAUGGGGGUGACCAUGGUAUUUUCUAGAUAUCCAGAUAAGUGAGGUUGGUGGUCUUAAGUUGACUACCAAAAUUGAGUUUGCUCAGGUAGGCAUGAAGAAGCUGAGGAUGCCCCUUCCCAUGUUAGUGAAUGUGGCAAUUUGUGGUAUUCCAGGUAUGAUGGCAAACCUAAUCACGAAAUAACCAUGGGAUUGUCCAGGGUUUAGUAAAAAGAUGGUGGUCCCCUUAACCAUGAAAGUUAUGAUGAAAUUUUGUAGGCCGGUAAUUAAGAGAUCACAGAGAUCCUAACCGUGAUACUGAACAAGGAAUUUUGCAAAUCACCAGGUAAGAGAUGAUUGUGUGUCUAAAAAUGUGGUGACCUUGGGAUUUUGCAGAUAUCCAAUUAAGGAAUAAUGUGUUCCUAGAAAUUGUAGUACCAAGGUAUUCAGCAGUUACCCAGGAAAGAAAUGUGUCCCUAGCAAUGGCAUUUAAUCUGAGUAAUUUGUAGGUCAUGUGUGGUAGAUUUUUCUAAAUCUGAUAGAUCUCAUGGGCUUCUGUAGGUAUCCACAUGAGAGAUGAUGUGUCACAAAUGGUAAAUAACUGUCACUAGUGUAACCAAAGUGUUUUAUAAGUAUCCAAUUAAGAGCUCAGGCUUUAUUUAUUUGUCAGAUAUAAGACUUUCUUGUUAACUAUUUUUUUUCUUUUUUUGAGAAAGAGUCUGGUUGAGCUAAGUGCUGACACGGGCUUAAACCACAGCCUGCACCGUGAGAAUGUCAGAGAGACCCAGUUCAGUGAAGAUGUGUCCCUACACGCUUUCCCACCAUGAUUUCUUUCACAGGUACUCAGGUGAGAAAUGAUUGAGUCCUUAUCGAUUCCAGAUCGGCUUGGUUUUCUUAUAGUCUGUUUCAUCGAAGGUGUAUGCUGAACCCUAUGAGCAUUGAGGGACUGCAGGGAGCCAGGUAUUUAUCACUAUAUUCUGCACCUCAUGCUAACCCUAGGAUGUCUACAGGUAUCCAGUCAAGAAACGGUGGUGUUCUGCUAUCAGGGUUGACCUGGGAUGACUGCAAGUAUCCAGGUCAUGUGUCUGUGUCCCGUAAAGAUGGAAAUAAUCAAGGUUCUUUGCAGGAGUGCUGGCAGAAAACCCCGUGUCCUUCUACACAUA
rnacentral:lncRNA from 1 species